rnacentral:rRNA from 1 species
GGGUCAGUAGGUUGGUCGUGCCACCGGUACGUACUGGUCUAACUGAUUCCUCCUUCCUGAAGAACCGUAAUGCCAUUAAUUUGGUGUUGCGGGGAAACAGGACCGUUACUUUGAAAAAAUUAGAGUGUUUAAAGCAAGCUAACGCUUGAAUACAUUAGCAUGGAAUAAUGAAAUAGGACGAUCGAUCCUAUUUUGUUGGUUUCUAGGAUUGACGUA